rnacentral:rRNA from 1 species
GAGUUUGAUCGUGGCUCAGAUUGAACGCUGGCGGCAUGCCUUACACAUGCAAGUCGAACGGCAGCAUGAUCUAGCUUGCUAGAUUGAUGGCGAGUGGCGAACGGGUGAGUAAUACAUCGGAACGUGCCCUGUAGUGGGGGAUAACUAGUCGAAAGAUUAGCUAAUACCGCAUACGACCUGAGGGUGGAAGUGGGGGACCGCAAGGCCUCAUGCUAUAGGAGCGGCCGAUGUCUGAUUAGCUAGUUGGUGGGGUAAAGGCCCACCAAGGCGACGAUCAGUAGCUGGUCUGAGAGGACGAUCAGCCACACUGGGACUGAGACACGGCCCAGACUCCUACGGGAGGCAGCAGUGGGGAAUUUUGGACAAUGGGCGAAAGCCUGAUCCAGCAAUGCCGCGUGUGUGAAGAAGGCCUCGG